rnacentral:rRNA from 1 species
AGCGAACGCUGGCGGCAGGCCUAACACAUGCAAGUCGAGCGCCCCUCCUUCAAGCGAGCUUGGAGGUUGCGGAGCGGUGUCUUCGGCGAGCGCAAGCUCGCUUGAAGGAAUCGUUUUCGAGAUCAAGCGAGCCAAGGGCUCGCUUGAUGGAGGGGAGCGGCAGACGGGAGAGUAACACGUGGGAACGUACCCUUCAGUUCGGAACAACCAAGGGAAACUUUGGCUAAUACCGGAUACGUCCGUAAGGAGAAAGAUUUAUCGCUGAAGGAUCGGCCCGCGUCUGAUUAGCUAGUUGGUGAGGUAAUGGCCCACCAAGGCUACGACGGGUAGCUGGUCUGAGAGGAUGUCCAGCCACACUGGGACUGAGACACGGCCCAGACUCCUACGGGAGGCAGCAGUAGGGAAUCUUGCACAAUGGACGAAAGUCUGAUGCAGCGACG